GUACUUACCUGGUGCCGGGCCUUGUUGAUUACCGAGGACCAGCCCCCAGUGCGAGGUGCAGGCAUUGCACUGCGCUCGUGUUUACACCUGCCACUACCCCGAACUGGGGCAGAUGGGGCAUGCAAAUUGCUUGACUCCGGUUCAACGCGAGAGGGCGCCACCGCC
rnacentral:snRNA from 1 species